CCUUCUUUUCUUUCUUUUCCAUGUCCCUUCGUUUUCUACUUUUAUUUAACUUUUUUUCCCUUUUCAUCAUCUUUUUUCCUUUAUUUCUUUCAUCUUUCUUCUUUUUUCCUCACAUGGAUGGAUGGGUUCAAAAGUUCGAUCCUGCCUUCGAUCCUGCCCCAAUCUCGUUUUCUCAUAAGAAUGGGAUGGGAUGAUUGAGAUGCCCUCCAUCUCAUCAGGAUAUAAAAUCUUGGCCA
rnacentral:lncRNA from 1 species